rnacentral:tRNA from 1 species
GGCGCCAUAGCCAAGUGGUAAGGCAGAGGUCUGCAAAACCUCUAUGCGGCGGUCCAAAUCCGCCUGGCGCCUCCA